ACGGAGGAGGCAAGCGUUAUCCGGAAUUAUUGGGCGUAAAGCGUCCGUAGGUGGAUGUUCAAGUCUUCUGUCAAAGCGCGGAGCUUAACUCCGUAAAGGCAGAGGAAACUGAGCGUCUAGAGUGCGAUAGGGGCAAGGGGAAUUCCCAGUGUAGCGGUGAAAUGCGUAGAUAUUGGGAAGAACACCGGCGGCGAAAGCGCCUUGCUGGGUCUGCACUGACACUGAGGGACGAAAGCUAGGGGAGCGAAAGGGA
rnacentral:rRNA from 1 species